AAGCUGGAGAAUGGUUCUACUUAUUCAGAAGUGGCCAGCAGAAGAGCUAUAGAGAACAGAGUGAUUCCCAAAUCAGCAAACCCCAUGAGCUUGGAUGAUUCAAACCAAGCUGUCGCCGGGAUCAGCUUCAUUCACUGGCAAGAACCCGCCCAAUAAAUCGCAAGAUAGAACCACUUUAAGUCCUCUCUUUUCUAAAAUAGGAGUGUGUCUCCUACUCAUUUUGUUCAUUUCAAAAGGAUCAAAGACAAGUAAAUUUUUUUAGACUAUGAAUCUGUGGCAAAUGGGUAACUUGAAUAAGAUAAAAUCAUUCUCCAUCAAAGGAAGGUGGAUUGAAGGGGUAACACACUCUCAAACUACCCG
rnacentral:lncRNA from 1 species